UACAGAGGGUGCAAGCGUUAAUCGGAAUUACUGGGCGUAAAGCGCGCGUAGGUGGUUUGUUAAGUUGGAUGUGAAAGCCCCGGGCUCAACCUGGGAACUGCAUCCAAAACUGGCAAGCUAGAGUACGGUGGAGGGUGGUGGAAUUUCCUGUGUAGCGGUGAAAUGCGUAGAUAUAGGAAGGAACACCAGUGGCGAAGGCGACCACCUGGACUGAUACUGACACUGAGGUGCGAAAGCGUGGGGAGCAAACAGG
rnacentral:rRNA from 1 species